UACAGAGGUCCCAAGCGUUGUUCGGAUUCACUGGGCGUAAAGGGUGCGUAGGUGGCCGGUUAAGUCUGACGUGAAAUCUCCGAGCCUAACUCGGAAACUGCAUCGGAAACUAUCCGGCUCGAGGGUUGGAGGGGGGACUGGUAUACUUGGUGUAGCAGUGAAAUGCGUAGAUAUCAAGUGGAACACCAGUGGCGAAGGCGAGUCCCUGGACAACUCCUGACACUGAGGCACGAAAGCUAGGGGAGCAAACAGG
rnacentral:rRNA from 1 species